UUGAGUUUCCUAAGUAUGGAGUCGAUGAAGAUCUUGCACAUGGAUAAUAUGGAGAAGAUAUGGCUUGAUGAUCUUGAUUCAAAUGCCUUUGGCAAACUCAAGACACUAGUAGUGAAGUAUUGUGAGAAACUUUUAUCCAUAUUUUCAUCUUAUAAUAUGCUCACCAGAUUUCAAAACCUAGAGAAGAUAAUCGUGACCGAUUGUGCAUCCUUAGAAGUGGUAUUUCAAGUCCAAGAGUUUGAAUUUAGCGAAACUUGUUCUACAAAUACUUUUCAAUUGAGAGAAUUAGUUUUGACGCGGCUCUCAAAAAUGAAACACGUGUGGAGUGGACUUCCUCAAGGAGGUCUUACCUUUGGAUGCUUACAAUGCAUGGACGUUGGCAAGUGUGAGUGUCUCAAAAGUUUAUUUCCAAGCUCGGUGGCAAAAAGUAUGACACAGCUCCAAAAACUUUGUGUAUGGAAUUGUGGGGUGGAGGAAAUUAUCGCGGAGGAAGACGGAGUAAGUAUGAGUGCAGGUGAUCUCUUCUUUCCACAAUUAACCAAACUAGAAUUAUUUGACUUGCCAAAACUGAGGAGCUUCUACCAAAAUAGUCAUACUUCAGCAUGGCCACUCUUUAAGCAAUUGCAAGUGAGACAUUGCGACAAGAUGAGGUCAUUCUCAUUUGCUUGUGAAUUCCAAAGCUGCCAAGGUACAACUACCAACGAGAACCAACCUACACUCUUUUCUUUUGAAAAGGUCAUUCCUCACCUGGAGAUAUUGGAAUUGACGAGGGAGGAUGUUGCGAUGCUGCCGCAGCAUUACAUCUUUGGCAAUCUCAAAAGCUGGUUUUUGGGUGCUACCACGAUGAAAAUGUCGCUUUCCCCUCCGACUUCCUUCUCCAAGGAUUCCCCAAUCUAGAAUUGCUUGUUGUGCGGUGUAGUUCCUUCGAGGAGAUAUUUCCAGAAGAUGCUCUUGGACAUGGGGGAGCGACUCCCUGUGGAGGAUUAACAGACAUGGAAAAACCUCUCAAGUCACUGGAAAUCUGAAGAAACUUUUGCUGGUGUUGCUGCGUAACCUGAAAGGAGUCUGGAAAGAUGGCGCCUUGAUGGCUGAAAUCCUCAAACAGAUUGAAUAUCUAUACCUUCGGUGGUGCCCGAGUUUAUCGAUCGUAUUUCCAUCUCCUGCCUCAUUCCAGAGAUUGACGAACUUAGAAGUAGAGGAGUGCGCUGGUUUAGUUCAUAUGGGGACUUGCUCGGCAAUGACAAGUCUGGUGCACCUUACUUGGCUAACCCUAAGAGAUUGUGGUGCAAUGGAAGAUGUGGUAACAGAUGAUGGAGAUGGAGCAGAGGAGAUCCAUUUCCCCAAGCUGAAAGAGCUAAUACUUGAUCGUUUACCAAGCCUUGAGAGCUUCUCCCCAACGAAUCGCGCCUUCAGUUCCCAUCACUGAAGCGUAUUGUCAUCACGCAAUGCCCCAAGAUGAAUAUAUUCUGCAAGGGUGCCUUGAGGACACCAAACCUAGAUAAAGUACUCCUCUCCGAAGAGGAUGGUGAAGGACUCUGGGAGGGCGACCUUAAUACCACCAUCCAAACCUUAUCGACUUGGAACGAUCCACACCGAAUUCAGUAAUGCAGGUGUCAUGCUCCCUACGAUCAAAGUGGUUGCUUUUUAUUUGCUAGAAAGUGUCUCCUGUAGUAAGAUGUUGAAGCAAUCCUUUUGCAACCCGCGCUUUAAUAGUGUUCUAGUGCAUGGUGUUGAUACCUCUCAACAUGGAGCCUUUAUGCAACAUGUGGUAUUCACAAUGGGUAGGUGCUUCAUUGAAUAUCUCAUUCUUUUUCUAGUUUGGGAUGUCCUCUCUGUCAUUUCCUUGAUAAUUGUACUGGUGUAGCAUAACAGUUGAGCAAAUAAUCAAUAGAUUGUGGGGGUGCUCCAUCCCUUAUUGAAUUGUAUAGGGAUUUUUGAAUGAGUGUUGGCCUUUAGGCAACCUCAUUUAGCAUCAAGAAGUUUCUUUGGAGUUUGGAUGAUGACAAUAGCGGCCGUACACUGACCAAAGGGGGAAGAAGUCCGAGAAUCCAAAUAAGCAUGUGUCCUUGGGGUAGCACAUCAUAGCCUACAUGGAGCCGUUCACGCUAGAUGUUUUCAUCUCCAAGUGCAUUGUCUGGGCUUCACUCACUCACAGGGUCGCAUGCAAGCAGGUUGCUAUUGCAGUACCAAUUCUGAGGACAUCAGAGCCUACUGAAGUCUCAAUUGGACAUACCGGCAUGUUUGGUCAUAGGCCAGAUUUUGGCAGACCAGUCAAGGGAAGCCGAUGUGUACACUGCUUCCUACACUCCAAGAGAGCAGGACAAGUUUGAAGGAAAAAUCGAGUAGUAGUUCAGUUUCUAAUUGACAGUGGUAUCGAUAUUUAAGUUUAUCUUGACUGUUUUUCCUCCUUGAGCAUGAUCUUGAUUGUGUGCACAACUCCUAGUAGGAAUACACUGACAUCUUUGACAUUGUUUUGAGAAUCGCGGGAUGUAGUGUUGGUUCAUUUGCUGGUUUAAUAUAGAUAAUAGUAAUUGUUUGUCUGA